rnacentral:tRNA from 1 species
GGCCUUGUGGCGCAACGGAAAACGCGUCUGAUUACGGAUCAGAAAAUUCCAGGUUCGAAUCCUGGCAAGGUCG